AGAGUUUGAUCAUGGCUCAGGAUGAACGCUAGCGGUGCGCCUAACACAUGCAAGUCGAGCGGGUUUAUUUGUGACACAGAGUAGAGAUUUAUUUCUACAUUCUGUGUCACAUGUAAUCUAGCGGCAAACGGGUGCGUAACACGUUGAUAUCUCCCCCGAAGUCAGGGAUAGCCUCGAGAAAUCGAGAGUAAUACCGGAUGGUCCCGUAAGGGUAAAGGAGCAAUUCGCUUCGGGAAGAGUCUGCGGCCUAUCAGCUAGUUGGCGGGGUAAAAGCCCACCAAGGCGAUGACGGGUAGCUGGUCUGAGAGGACGACCAGCCACAAUGGAACUGAGACACGGUCCAUACUCCUACGGGAGGCAGCAGUGAGGAAUCUUCCACAAUGGACGAAAGUCUGAUGGAGCGACACCGCGUGAAGGAUGAAGCCUUUGUUGGUGUAAACUUCUUUUCUCUCCGAAGAUAAUGACGGUAGGAGAGAAUAAG
rnacentral:rRNA from 1 species